AUUGAACGCUGGCGGCAGGCCUAACACAUGCAAGUCGAGCGGAUGAAGGGAGCUUGCUCCUGGAUUCAGCGGCGGACGGGUGAGUAAUGCCUAGGAAUCUGCCUGGUAGUGGGGGAUAACGUCCGGAAACGGGCGCUAAUACCGCAUACGUCCUGAGGGAGAAAGUGGGGGAUCUUCGGACCUCACGCUAUCAGAUGAGCCUAGGUCGGAUUAGCUAGUUGGUGGGGUAAAGGCCUACCAAGGCGACGAUCCGUAACUGGUCUGAGAGGAUGAUCAGUCACACUGGAACUGGGACACGGUCCAGACUCCUACGGGAGGCAGCAGUGGGGAAUAUUGGACAAUGGGCGAAAGCCUGAUCCAGCCAUGCCGCGUGUGUGAAGAAGGUCUUCGGAUUGUAAAGCACUUUAAGUUGGGAGGAAGGGCAGUAAGUUAAUACCUUGCUGUUUUGACGUUACCAACAGAAUAAGCACCGGCUAACGUCGUGC
rnacentral:rRNA from 1 species